AUUGAACGCUGGCGGCAGGCCUAACACAUGCAAGUCGAACGAGGGGCGGACGGGGGAGUAAUGUAUGGGAAACUGCACGAUGGAGGGGGAUAACUACUGGAAACGGUAGCUAAUACCGCAUACCAUCGGAUGUUCCCAGAUGGGAUUAGCUCGUGGGUGGAGUACAGGCUCACCUAGGCGACGAUCCCUAGCUGGUCUGAGAGGCUGACCAGCCACACUGGAACUGAGCCACGGUCCAGACUCCUACGGGAGGCAGCAGUGGGGAAUAUUGCACAAUGGGCGCAAGCCUGAUGCAGCCAUGCCGCGUGUAUGAAGAAGGCCUUCGGGUUGUAAAGUACUUUCAGCGGGGAGGCGUUACCCGCAGAAGAAGCACCGGCUAACUCCGUGCCAGCAGCCGCGGUAAGUC
rnacentral:rRNA from 1 species